rnacentral:rRNA from 1 species
GACGAACGCUGGCGGCGUGCUUAACACAUGCAAGUCGAACGAAGUGGCGAACGGGUGAGUAACGCGUAAUCAACCUGCCCUUCAGAGGGGGACAACAGUUGGAAACGACUGCUAAUACCGCAUACUGAAGGAGGGGAUUGCGUCUGAUGAGCUAGUUGGAGGGGUAACGGCCCACCAAGGCGAUGAUCAGUAGGCGGUCUGAGAGGAUGAACGGCCACAUGGGGACGGAGACACGGCCCAGACUCCUACGGGAGGCAGCAGUGGGGAAUCUUCCGCAAUGGACGAAAGUCUGACGGAGCAACGCCGCGUGUAUGAAGAGGGCCUUCGGGUUGUAAACUGCUUUUGUCAGGGAAGCGGUACCUGAAGAAUAAGCACCGGCUAACUACGUGCCAGCAGCCGCGGUAAUAC